UACGUAGGGGGCUAGCGUUGUCCGGAAUCAUUGGACGUAAAGCGCGCGUAGGCGGCCUGGUAAGUCCGCUGUGAAAGUCAAAGGCUCAACCUUUGAAUGUCAGCGGAUACUGCCAGGCUAGAGUCCGGAAGAGGCGAGUGGAAUUCCUGGUGUAGCGGUGAAAUGCGUAGAUAUCAAGAGGAACACCUGCGGCGAAGGCGGGUUGCUGGGCCGACACUGACGCUGAUGCGCGAAAGCCAGGGGAGCGAACGGG
rnacentral:rRNA from 1 species